rnacentral:rRNA from 1 species
AAGUCGUAACAAGGUCUCCGUUGGUGAACCAGCUGGAGGGAUCAUUAUCGAGUUAUUCAACUCCCAAACCCUAUGUGAACUUACCACUUGUUGCUUCGGCGCGCGCUUCGGCGCCGCCGAGGACACUUAAACUCUUUGUUUUUAUAAGCAUUUCUGAGUGGCCGAAAGGCAAAAAUACAAAUGAAUCAAAACUUUCAACAACGGAUCUCUUGGUUCUGGCAUCGAUGAAGAACGCAGCGAAAUGCGAUAAGUAAUGUGAAUUGCAGAAUUCAGUGAAUCAUCGAAUCUUUGAACGCACAUUGCGCCCGCCAGCAUUCUGGCGGGCAUGCCUGUUCGAGCGUCAUUUCAACCCUCGAGCCCGACUCUUUUGAGGACGGCUCGGCGUUGGGGGACGGCAGACUCCCCCCGGCAUCUCGCCGGGGACGCCGCCCCCGAAAUCUAGUGGCGGCCCUCCGAGGCGACCUCUGCGUAGUAACUUGUUCUCGCACCGGAAAGCUCAGAGCGGCCACGCCGUAAAACCCCAACUUUUUUCAGGUUGACCUCGAAUCAGGUAGGACUACCCGCUGAACUUAAGCAUAUCAAUA